UACGAAGGGGGCUAGCGUUGCUCGGAAUUACUGGGCGUAAAGGGCGCGUAGGCGGAUGUUUAAGUCGGGGGUGAAAGCCCGGGGCUCAACCUCGGAAUUGCCUUCGAUACUGGACAUCUUGAGUACGGGAGAGGUGAGUGGAACUCCGAGUGUAGAGGUGAAAUUCGUAGAUAUUCGCAAGAACACCAGUGGCGAAGGCGGCUCACUGGCCCGGUACUGACGCUGAGGUGCGAAAGCGUGGGGAGCAAACAGG
rnacentral:rRNA from 1 species